UCUUGGGAUUGAAGCGACAGUUGGGCGGGGUUAUUGAGAGAGAGAGAGGGAGGAGAGAGAGAGGAAGGAGCUGCAGAUACAAGAGCUAGAGGAUAGAUAAAGGGAGUGUUAUAAGUGUUAUUCAGUAGAUCUGGAUUCCUGGAAAUAUCUGAGCUCAGGCACACAGUUUGACAGAGUGGUCAAAUCUGAAAAUGCAGUGAUUCUCAAUGAGAUACCAGAGAAAACCCUGACUGAGCCAACACUAAUCAAACUUGGAGGGAGAAUCUCAACAGGAGAUUGGAAUCAGCAAUCUAUACAGAAAAGAUGAGGACAUUGAACCAUACUGGGACAUGAGAGAAGAAUUUAGUAUUAUUGAAGCACACAAACCAUUAGUACCCAUGUUUAACAAAGCACAAGCAAAAUUACCACUGAGAAUAAAGAAAUGGGUGAUGGACUUACAAGGUGUUGACUAUGAAGUGGUAUAUGAGCCAGGAAAGAAUGAUGCAGACCCAGAUUAUCUCUCCAGAUGCCCACUGCCACAAAUACAGAGAAGAUGAUCAGAUAAAUGGUCAAAUCUGAAAAUGCAGAAAACGCUCACUGACCCAACACUAAUCAAACUUGGAGGGAGAAUACACUCAUUAUACGUGACUAUGUUUUAGUUUAAAAACAGAACAAAAGAAACAAACUCUCAACACCAUAUGAACUGAUUUUCUAUAUCGUCAUGGAAAUACAUGGUUCUCAAGUUACUGCCAGAAGAGUUACAGACAGAAGAACAAUCUGCAGAGACGCAAGUCAAUUCAAACUGUGUUACAAUGUCGUGAACACAACAGAUGAUGUAAUGAAAAUUCCAGCAGACUCGUAUUUGAAAGAAAACACAAAUGAGAUGAGAAGACAAGAUGAUGCAUGUGAAUUGCAACUUAGUGAUAUAUUACAGUGAAAAGUGACAUUGCAGCAACAGACAGACAGAAUAUUCCAAACUUAAAUGAUAUUGCAUUAAAUACAGAGAAUUCAGUUGAUGAGAAGAUGACACAGCAAGAGAAAAACAGUGAUCAUAUUGAAGAACCAAUUUACACCAGACCAAAGAGAACAAUCAGACAACCUGGUUACUUAAAAGAUUAUGUAUUAAAGAGACAGUUCAAUCAGUUAUGUGUAAUCAGGAUGAAGACGGAUUGCUGUCCUGAAAAAAACUCCAGUCUCCAUACAGCAUGGUGUCUUCUAGGUGAACUGACUUUACCUGGCUGGACAUGGGGACAUGUAUUGUUAAUAUGAAAUAGACAGGAACUGGCAGUUGCAGGAAUAUCCCUUCAUCUCACACAGUUGAACAAGACACAGCAAGUUUCAGGAUGAAUGGGUUGUGAAGAGCCAGAGACAGGACAGCCAUGGUAAACAGGGAACUGGACUUCUUGCAGGUUGUACACAAAAUGA